UACAGAGGUGGCAAGCGUUGUUCGGAAUUACUGGGCGUAAAGGGCGCGUAGGCGGUCUUGUAAGUCCUGUGUGAAAUCCCUCGGCUUAACCGGGGAACUGCGUCUGAUACUGGAUGGCUUGAGUUUGGGAGAGGGAUGCGGAAUUCCAGGUGUAGCGGUGAAAUGCGUAGAUAUCUGGAGGAACACCGGUGGCGAAGGCGGCAUCCUGGACCAACACUGACGCUGAGUGAGCGAAAGCCAGGGGAGCAAACGGG
rnacentral:rRNA from 1 species